rnacentral:rRNA from 1 species
AUUGACGGACUGAAGGAUCUUUCUCGAUUCCGUGGAAAGUGGUGCAUGGCCGUUUUGGUUGGUGGAUCGAUCCGUCUGGUUAAUUCCGUUAACGAACGAGACCUCGGCACUCCGAAUAGCGCGGCGGACGUCGCGGCCUCCGGGCCGUCUUCCGCGCGAGCUUCUUAGAGGGACCGUCCCCCGCCGGGGAAGGAGGUUCGAGGCAACGACAGGUCUGUGAUGCCCUUAGAUGUUCUGGGCCGCACGCGCAUUACACUGACGCGUCCAACGGGCGACUCCCGGCCCGAAGGGGUCGGGGAAUCCGCAAGGCGCGUCGUGAUGGGGAUUGAACGUUGCAAUUGUUGUUCACGAACGAGGAAUUCCUAGUAGGCGCGGGUCAUCAACCCGCGCCGAUUACGUCCCUGCCC